UCUUUUAUGGAACAAGAGCGAUUCGAUUCGAUUCCCUCUCUCUCCGGUGGAGGGAGAGCAGCAUAGGUCUCCUCCAGAUUCGAAUUCGAAAGAUGAACAAUGCCGAUUCUGGUGAUCGUUAUCAAAAAUGUCAUGUAGAAACAUGCUGCGGAAAACAGGCGAACGGGCAGCGAGAACAGCUCGGUGCGCUCCGAUGCUUCCAUCAGAGGCGUUGAUGGUUAUGUCGGUGUAAAUGCUUUCUGUCAACAUACGUCCAAGGGAUGUUACCGCUGUAACUUCGGAUUGGUUCUGCGUUGAACCGUCUGCCCAGAUUGAGUAAAACUCUCCACUCUGCCAAUCCAGAACCUUGAGGUCAAGAAACUCGACGUCGAUGAUGAUUUUUCCAGUCAAGGGAACUUCAAUUGUCCAGAGGAAAUCUUCGUUUGUCUUAAUCCUCUUAUCUAUUACUUCUGCAGCAUUAAAGAAACAAUGUUUUUAAAUUCAUCUUUUGUUGUGGAACAGGAACAAAGCAAGAUCUUGUCUUUACCUGGAUGAGUAAAAGCCUUCCUCUCACCAGUAGAAGAGACAACACGAAGAACAAAGGAAGCAACAGGUGAACAAAAAGGGAAGGAGAGAGAGAAGAGAGAGGUACCAGUUCCAAAGACCCAUCUUGAAAGGAUCGGACUUGCGGUAAGUGGAGGAAGAGAGGUUGAGGAUACGCCAUUGGGCGAGCCUGGAGAUGGUGUCUACUCUGUAAGCUGAAUCAGUCAUCCUAGAGAAAGCCAGAGCUGCAGAGAUGUCAUGGAUGCAAUCCAACCAACCCUCCAGCAGAUUCUCCCCUGACUUUCCCAGGUUUGCUCUCUUCUUCUCCUCCUCCUCCUCUUCUUAUCAUAUAAUAGUAUAUGUAUAAGCAAGAGUAGAAUCAAGGAGAUAUGGGGUUUAGGGAGAUGAAUUGUUUAAUGGAUUGGAAGAAUCAUUAGCGUUUCUUGGAUUGGUAAUUCUUAGGGGGAAGCAAAGUCUGUGCUUUGCUUUUACGUCAUUUGAAAGAGAGAGAGAGAGACAGGGGAAAGAGUAAAGUGUGUUGGUUCUAUAUGACCAUAUGUUUCUUAACACUUGGCCUUAUUUCUCACCCUGGCCCACUCUUAUGGGGCGUGUGUCUGUUUUAUUGGAGUCUUUGAGUCUUCUCUUCCAACUAAUUUCAGACUUUAGGUUUAUAGACACUUCCAACAUUUCUUGGGUUGGAUAUGGUUUGUACAAUUACAUAACUACCCCGAUGAACUAUUUUUAAAAUGACCUGAUGUUAAACAUA